rnacentral:rRNA from 1 species
AGAACGAACGCUGGCGGCAUGCCUAAUACAUGCAAGUCGAACGAACUCUUCGGAGUUAGUGGCGCACGGGUGCGUAACGCGUGGGAAUCUGCCCCUUGGUUCGGAAUAACAGUUGGAAACGACUGCUAAUACCGGAUGAUGACGAAAGUCCAAAGAUUUAUCGCCAAGGGAUGAGCCCGCGUAGGAUUAGCUAGUUGGUGAGGUAAAGGCUCACCAAGGCAACGAUCCUUAGCUGGUCUGAGAGGAUGAUCAGCCACACUGGGACUGAGACACGGCCCAGACUCCUACGGGAGGCAGCAGUAGGGAAUAUUGGACAAUGGGCGAAAGCCUGAUCCAGCAAUGCCGCGUGAGUGAUGAAGGCCUUAGGUGUAAAGCUCUUUACCCGAGAUGAUAAUGACAGUAUCGGAGAAUAAGCCCCGGCUAACUCCGUGCCAGCAGCCGC